rnacentral:tmRNA from 1 species
GGGGGCGACCGGUUUCGACGGGACAGGAAUUCCUUAGAACGGCAUGCAGAGGCCCCAGAAUCCUCUUAAAUCAAUCUGGAAAAACCAUAGUUGCCGAUUACGGCUACAUGGCAGCUGCUUAAGUAAGCUGCCCGUCCUGAGUCAGUUUUGCCUGCAGGCAGGCUUAUGGGCGUCGAUUACGCAGGCUGGGUAUGCAGACUGCCUGAUGCGGCAUACUGAGAAAUUAUCAGGCUUCGGCUGGAAUGCGUGGGUCCCUGGAUCGUAUUUCAGCAACACUUAACCAGGCGACUAAGCAUGUAGAAGGUCUUUUGAAACUUGUUUCGGACGGGAGUUCGAAUCUCCCCGCCUCCACUA